rnacentral:lncRNA from 1 species
UUUCCCACUUCAAGACGAUGACAGAGACGAGCGUGCAUCCAAGACCCGCAGAGUGGAGCCGGGAGAGGCAGCCAAGAAGAAGAAGUAGAGACGGUGGCUCCUGGGAUGUGCCGUUGGGCGGAGUGUUUGCUCUUGUGCGUUACUAUGACAGACAUCUCCAUGAACGUUUUAUGUUGAUGAACUAACGAGUAUCGUCUCAAGACUUUCCACUGUAGAAUUCACUUUUUUAUUUAAAACCUGUAUGUAUUUACAACUCUAAUGGUGACCUGUGAUUGUGAACUGACAGUACUUGGAAGCAUUCUGGCUAUCACAAAAUUGGUGACAGGCUUUGAGAGUUUGUCACAUGGACAUGCCAAUGUUCUAUGAACCUUUUAUAAAGGAUUAUAUUUUUAAAGUAAAUAUAUUGUAUUGUACUGUGAACUUGUGGGUGCUUUUCAUUAGUGUCUGUACAGUGUAAAUAGAUGAUCAUGGAAAUAAAAUUACUUAACUCAGCAUUGCUAUUAACUGAAUGCCACUAACCAGUAUUUGUGACAAGCGACCUGCUUGCCCUGUGACAUUUUAAUUCACAGUGGUGAUUGGCUGUAGGGAGAGCCUCCCAUGUUCAGGUGCCUUGUGCAUUCUUCUCUCCAACCAUCCUGUAAAGAAAGUAGACAUUCGAGUCCUCAGUCUUGUGAUGAGAGCUUGAGGAGCUGGGCAGAGGGAUACGCAGCAGUGAGUGAAGACUAGCAGUCCCUCUGGCCGGACCCCAGAAUCGGACCAAACACCUGUCCACUCAUCAGACUUCAAUCAUUUUCCAGGAACGUCGUCUCUCCCGUGUGCACUUCUGUAGGGGAGGUCUCCUCAUACCCUGAUUAUGCGGCUGCACUUGUUGUAUCUGCCUUACAAUGUGCUUAGUCACUUCUUCCUUAAAUAUACGGGAGGCAGACCAGGCUCUUCUAUGAAAGAUGACCAGAAUCAGCAAAGAGCAUAAGGCAUCCAGUUAGGUUUGAGUCUGUGUGAGUAUAUGUGAUAUAAGAGACACAUUAAAAACCAUUUCAAUUCCAAUUUAA